rnacentral:sRNA from 1 species
UUUUUUUUUUUUUUUUUUUUUGGAUGUAGCAUACUGGAAAGGCUACCAUGAAGAAGCUGGCAGAGUGUGCAAACAAACUGAAAGGCAGCUCCUAGUGUGUAUAAAGUACCCUGAGGGUCCCAGUCAGAUGUCUGUUGAGACAUUCUCAUCUUAUGAAGAUGCAUCCCAUGAAAAGUAGUGAGAAGUCACGAGGUUGCUAACAUCUUGGUUCAUAUUUGCCUGGACCUUUUCAAAAUGGGGUUUUCCAAAUAUCCCAAACAAGAACGAUACCUCCAGGUGUAAUAGUAACAAGUACAUAUAUCUGCUUUUCCCUGAAGGAGCAACUGGAUGAAACUAGAUUGAGCUUGUGAGUCAGCGCUCUCUCUCUCUCUCUCUCUCUCUCUCUCUCUCUCUCUCUCUCUCUCUCUCUCAAAAUGUAUUCAUGCGUGGCACACAACUUUAAUCUUAGCACUCUGUGAGUUUGAGGCCAGCCCCAACUUCACAUAAAGUUUCGGGCUAGCCAGAACUACAUUAUGCUACCCUGUCUAAAUAAUAAUAAAGAGAUAAAUGGGUAGAAAUUUUAUGCUUAUCCGAAAGAACAUUUUUACAAAAUUUUCCCUUAAAAGCAAUCUUAUUCUAUUAAACUCAAGCCUCUCAUAGUUAAGUCCAGUUUUGUGCAGGGGAAACAAAGUUCUAUGUUGUGUCCCUGUUAUGGGCAUUCUUGAAAGUGAGCUGUUUUAUAGACAAAGCCCUAUAGAGAAAAUAGGAGAUUAAAAAAAAAGUUCAGAAAACUCUGUCGUUUAAAGCAGGACUCAUUAGGAGAAAGAGUUUGGAAAUGCAAUGUUAAGCAGAAAUAAAUAUGCUCUAACUUUCCUAGGGACCCUCUCUGCCAAGCCCCACCUGUUGGCUGCUGACCUAGAAGAGGAAACUUUCAGCAAACACAUUGUAUUCUGCCUCGGAUGUCUGUAAGAGUGCCCAGAUCUAAACUCUAUCUUCCCGAACCUCAGGGUAGAACCUUUAAACAUCUCACACUGGGUGCUAGGCUCAAAUCCUGUCUUAUGUAUUAGCAGCAGUGAGUCCUUGCAUGAGAAAGACCCUUUGACCACUGAAGCACCAACUUCUUUAUCAGUGCAGAUGAUAAGACCCGCCUAACCAAUUAUCAAGGUAGUGGAGCUAAGGAACAGGAAACCACCACAAACAUUCAGAAGCUCUUGACCUCACCUAGAUGAGAUUUCUCUAGAAAGCCUUUUGCUCUUAUCAGAACUUGAGAGCAUUUCUAACUUCCUCCUAGCACGGACUGCAAAGCACAGACGACUUGCAGUGUGGAAAACACAUCGCACUCUCAGUUCCCCCAUCACUGUAUUUUAUAGUCCUGGAAAAACCCUGGAUCCUUAAGAGCCUCUGAGUUCUAGUUCCACCUAGCCCUCUUUCCAGUGCACUAUGGUGAAUGGCUUUACCCUGUGUGCCUGAGUUAGAUACAUCUAGGGAAAGAAUGACGAGUGGGUUGACUCCUCCUCCUCCAGUUCAAAGCAUCUAUGAUCCUGCACUUAAAGGAGUUAACGUCAUCCCAUUACUCUGCUUGACUAAAGAACAAAGGUGCUGGAAGCUUCAAGAGUCAUUAUUUUCUUACCAUCCACUCAGAAAUAUUUCAGUGUCCUUGCCCCUGAGAACCUAAUCUACCUUACAGGUGACCCCUUUAGGUUCUUCUGCUGGUGUCCCUGGAGAGAGCAAGAGAAAUGGGCACCCUGUUGGGAUGUCAUUUCCCAAGCUCAACAAGAGAUCCUUUAAACUAACCCAAGAACUGUUUAACUUUUAACUUAGGGUGAAAUUCCAAACCAUCAAACAAAGUAAAGGGAUGCACAAAGCUCACCCCUCCUCCACAGUUCCCCACUUGCAGCCUGCAAGCGCCACUCUGAGACUGAACGCUAGGAAGACUGAGGAAGGUGAUCAGUGCCUGCAGUAAAAUACAGCGGGUUUUAAAAAAUAAUAAGUAAGUAAGUAAACAAAUAACUUAGGCAUGAUAACCAAGUCCGGUUAACCAAGUCCCGUGAUCUCAGGACUUGGAAAGCAGAGGCAGGAGGAUAACACAUUAGAGAUAAACCUAAGCCACACCAUAAGUUCUUGUAAGCUAGCUACAGAAUGAGAUUUUGUAUCAAUAAAACCAAAUAAAAUGUACAAAGUAAUAAUAAUAAUGAUAAUAAUAAUAAUAAUACCACAAUAAAAACAAUGUCCUUUAGGACUGGGCAUUACCUCAGUAGUGUAACACUUGUUUAUCAUGUCCUGGUUUCAAUGCCCAGGGUAACAAAAUAAAAAUGUUUCAAUAAAUGUCUUUUAGGAUAUAGCUACUGGGCACACACGUUCUCUUUGUGUUUUCAGUGGCUCUGUCUUCAAUUAUAGGAUAUUUCCUCCAUUCCAUUGGCCCAUCUCCCCCCUUGCCCCAGGAGAGCAUAUGUCAGAUGGAAUGGUCAUGGCUCUGAGUAGUAAUGGCUGUGAGUCAAGGACAUAUGGUGUCCCGGACUGUGUGUUUGCUCUUGUACCUGGAGAGAUUAGUCAGACUGACGCACGGCAUCAGCCCAGAGGCCAUCUGGCUGUUCCCCAAUGCAGGGUAUAGGUAAGAAGUCAUCAUCUAUACCUUAAUAGCUAGGCAGGGUUCUCAGCCACCAUGGGGGGAGAUAUUUCAUGCUGUAGCCCCAGGUCAAGGCAAAUACCCCUGUACCUAGGAGUAAGGCAGGAUAACAAUCUUGGUAGUGGUUCCUGAGUUUCAAGGCUGCAUGCAGAGACUUCCCAUGCAAACUUUACAGAUCCCCCAGGUACGUACUCUCUCCAGCUGUUCCUUUUCCUGGGCAUCUGCAGGCCUCCAUCAGUCCAAGAGUUAUUGGAAUUCUGCCCUUUACAGCAGUCAAAAGACUAGACUUUGGCCCCAAUCUGCCUGCUGUGUGGCUCUGCUCUUUAGCUGUGUCCAGUAAGCUCUCUUCUAUCUCCCUGUAGUUGUCUGCUAACUGGCAAUCCUCCGUGUUGUUGCCCAAGACUAACUGUCUCAGAAAAUCUAUUUAAAGCGUCUGGAUGGGGUUGGAGGGACAAUAAAAGUGAGUUCUACCCCUUGCUCGGGUAUUUGACUUGACUCUCUUCUGCAGGAGAUUUCUUGGGGGAAGUGGACAUGGUGUGUAAUUAGCUAUACUCCUCUGUGACCAAGUAAAGUUCUUAUCAAGAUGAUUUUAAAUGUAACAUGUCUGUAAUCCUAGCACUGCGGAGGCUAUGGCAAGAGAAUUAUAGAACUUUGAGUUCAAAACUAGUCAGGUUUCAUAAUCAGACCCUAUGUCAUGGCUCUUUUGACAGAAGGUCCAUGUCUGAGUCACAGGAAACGUGAUGUGGCGAAGAUUAAGGCCGGUCCCGCUACUAAAGGAACAGCCUUGGCCUGUGACUGCACAACAGGAACUAGGUACUAGACUUCUACAGGCCUGCAAAAAGUGCUUCUGGCAAAUUCUUCCUGAGUCUCUACCAUGUCAGUCUCAGUUUCAUGUGGAUUCCACAAAAGAAGUACAGCCUACCAAGUAAGAGAAGGAAGUCAGCCUAGCAUGCAUUUCAUAACCAAUCCAAAACAAUUGAAUUUUCCAUCACCUAUCUUGGGAAAAUGUGGUAAGUACAGUUUCGCAAAUUCUGAGAGUUGUUUAAUUUCCACUAGAUCAAUGGUGCUUAUGGAAGAAUUUUUGUUUCUGGAAAGAGAUUUGACCUCAAAGGCCAGUGUAAGGCGAUGUAACUGUGUGGUAGAGCAUGUGUUUGGCGUGUGCCAGUCUUUGGGUUCCAUCCCCAGUACAAAGGAACAGGAGCACUAAAGAACCGGCUUGAAGCUCCUGUUCUUCAGACAUGCCCACCUAGCUCAUACAAGCUCAAAGGCCUCUUGUUACUCUAGAGAACUUCCUCAGGCCUGCUCUGGGAAAUUAGCCUCUAUAUUGGCUGGCUUCAGAGAAAUCAGUGAGGGCUAGAAGGGUGGACUUCACUUGCCUCUGGUGUUCCAAUGAAUAUUUUAGAGCUCAUGGAACCAACUAUCCAAAAAUCAAAUUUCAUUGAUUUUUUUCCCCCCAAAGGGCAAGUACAAGCAAAUGUUCCUGCUCAGAAGACUUUGAAUGACUUUCCAACUCUCAUUCUUUAUGCUACACAUCCAACACCUGCUAUUUUGGAGGAGAGAGAGAGA